UGCAUCUGUGGAAUACAUGAAUAGACAACGAAUCAUCCCAAAUUGAGGAGCUGGUACCUGAGGAGUUGUAUACCUCCGGGAAGAUAUGUGCUCCAGACCCGUAAAUAUGCAGUUCACAGAGCCCACCACCAGAGGACAAUAAUGAAAGACAGAAACACACAGAGACAAUUCCAUGUGACAACAGUGAAAGAGACCAGAGUGAUGCAGCUGCAAAUCAAGAAACUGCCAACACCAGUGAUUGAUGGCCACCACCAGAAUCUGGUUAAGACAAAGAAGGAUCCUCCCCUUGAGGCGUCAGAAAGAACAUGGCCCUCUCAACACUUUGAGUUUGAACUUCUGGCCUCUAGAGCUGUGAUAAAAUAAAUUUCUGUUCUUUUAAGCUAACAAGUUUGUGGUAUCUUGUUAUGGUAGCCCUAGAGAUGACAGUAUUUGAUUCCUGAGCUGGCAACUGUAUUUUGACUAUGUAAUGACUAUUCCAAGAUAAUCAACAGACACAAAGAUAAAGGCAAAACUGAGACUAAGCCCAGUUCUUUUUAUUCCCAGAAUAAUAAAUGAUUUUUUAAUUAAUUUAGAUCUCUUUGUCUAACCCCUCUGCUUUUCAGAAGAGUAUGUGGGACCAAUCAAGUAUUCAUAUGUUAUACUUUCAUUUUAAUUCAUCUCAAAUUAUUUCUAAUUCCCCUUAUGAGUUCUUACUUGACCCAUGAAUUAUUUAGGAAUACAUUCUUUAAUUUCCAUUUGUGAUUUUCAACAAAUUUCUUUCUGUUAACGAUUUCUUAUUGCAUUCUGUUGUCAUCUGAGAGCACUCUCUGUAUUGUUUAUGUCCUUUAAAAUGUACUGAAAUUUGUUUUAUGGCCUAGCAUAUAGUAUAUCCAUGUGCAUUUGAAAAGAAUGUAUAUUCUGAUGCUGUUGGGUGGAAUGUUUUAUAGAUGGCUGUUAGGUCUACUUGAUUGAUAAUGCUGUUCAAGGUUUUUAUUUUCUUGUUGAUUUUCUGUCUGUUCUGCUAUUGAAAGAAGGGUAUUAAAGUAUCCAACGAUUAUUGUAGAACUGUCUGUUUCUCUUUUCUGUUGUGCCGAUUUUGCCUCAUUGUAUUUUGAAGUCCUGUUGUUAGGUGCAUAUAAGUUUAUAAUUAUUAUGCAUUCUAGAUGGAAUUAUCAUUUUAUCAUUUUAAAAUGUCUUUGUCGCUAGUAAAAAUUUUCGUCUUAAAAUGUAAUUUUUUUCUGAUA